rnacentral:rRNA from 1 species
UACGAAGGGGGCUAGCGUUGCUCGGAAUCACUGGGCGUAAAGGGUGCGUAGGCGGGUCUUUUAAGUCAGGGGUGAAAUCCUGGAGCUCAACUCCAGAACUGCCUUUGAUACUGAAGAUCUUGAGUUCGGGAGAGGUGAGUGGAACUGCGAGUGUAGAGGUGAAAAUUGUAGAUAUUCGCAAGAACACCAGUGGCGAAGGCGCUCACUG